rnacentral:rRNA from 1 species
UUUCGCAAUGCCCGAAAGGGUGACGAAGCGACGCCGCGUGGGUGAGGAAGGCCUUCAGGUUGUAAAGCCCUGUCAGGAGUUAAGAAAUGUAAGUGCGCUAAUAUCGCAUUUAUUUGACGAAGGCUCCAAAGGAAGCCACGGCUAACUCUGUGCCAGCAGCCGCGGUAAUACAGAGGUGGCAAGCGUUGUUCGGAAUUAUUGGGCGUAAAGAGCACGUAGGUGGGUUUGUAAGUCAGAUGUGAAAGCCUUCUGUUCAACGGAAGAAUUGCAUCUGAAACUGCGAGUCUUGAGUGUAGGAGGGGAGAAUGGAACUUCUGGUGGAGCGGUGAAAUGCGUAGAUAUCAGAAGGAACGCCGGCGGCGAAAGCGAUUCUCUGGCCUAUUACUGACACUCAGUGUGCGAAAGCUAGGGGAGCAAACGGGAUUAGAUACCCCGGUAGUCCUAGCCGUAAACGAUGGGCACUAAGUAGAGGGGUUUUA